CUCUAGACUUUUAAAUUACCUGGGCCAUUAUAGUCUUUUUCUUAAGCCUUUUUGAGUCUUUUGCUUAUGGUUCUAAGGAUCUUAAAUAAAACAGCAAUUAAAAAUUACAAUUCUGAUCACCAAUUCCAGUAUUGGAGGGGUGUUCCCAACCAAGAAAAUUUCAGGCACCAGCUGGGUGUGCUAUAAUUCAACUCAGUUCAAACACUAUCUACUUGGAGAUAGCAUCAGAUCCCACAGGUUCAGGGCUCCAUCCUAUACGAUUCCCCUGUGCCCCCAUCCCUCAUCAGAUGGCAGUCAAAAUCCAGGUUGUCACAUGUGUUUCAUACUGAUUGGUUAUAGAUCAGAAUUUCUGAAGACUCCUUCCUUGGGUUUGGUUAACUUGUUAGAAGGGCUGAAAGAACUCAGAGGAACACAUUACUACUGAACUACCAGUUUGUUAUAAAAACAUAUAACCCAGGAACAGCCAGAUGGAAGAAAUGCAUAGGGCAAGGUAUGUGUGAGGGGGCUCUGAGCUCUGUGUUCUCUAAAUGUGCCCCUCUCCCCAAAUCUCCACAUAUUUACCAACCAGGAGGUCUCUUAGCCCAUACUUGGGGGGUUUUCCAGAGCAUUACAUGGGCAUGUUUGAUUAAAUCAUUGGCCGUUGGAGAUUGACUAAACCUCUAGCCCUUCCCCACUCCCUGGAGGUCAUGGGUGUGAGACUGAACGUUCUAAUCCUCUAAUUCUGUGGUUGAUCUCUCAACCAGUCCUCAUCCUUAGGUUGGAUUAAAAAGUCCUCUCAUUAACAAAACAAAAGAUACAUUUCUAGCUCUCAUCACUUAAGAAAUUCCAAGGUUAAAACAAGGAGUUAUGUGCCAGGAAUAUUGGUCAAAGACCAAAUAUAUAUUUCUUAUUAUAAAUCACAGUAUCAUAAUAGUAAAAGUGCAUCAAUAAUCAAAAUAGUUAAAAACAAAAUAGUUAUCAAGUAGGAGAAAAUAACUUUAUUUUUAUGUAAUUUCUGUCUUUUAACGUGUCUAAGUGUAUCUCCAUUUCCUUCCUAUGAUUUUUUUUUUUUGAGGUGAUUCCAGACUUUCCUCAUCAUUUUAGACUAUUUAAUUGCAUAUUGUUCACUUUUAGGAAGCAAAAAAAUUCUUAGCAAGUUUAAAUCAAAAUAGCAGUCUCACAUCUAAUUUGAUUCCAGUGUCUUUCUUUUGACAUUUAGGCCAGACACACUGCUUGCUCUAGCCUGCAAUAGGACACAGGCCAUGAACUCAACUUUCAGAUUUCCUUCUUCUUCUUCCAAGCCUUUAUUUAGUUGCUCUUUUCUGUUUGUUGGUUUUGUUUUGUUGGUUUAUUUAUUUAUUUAUUUUCUCGUAGUUCUGUCUUGGCUAAUAGUAAACGACUAGUGUGUUCUCCAUUAUAGCAAGCUUCUAAAUGGUGCUUUCUCAUGUAUAACUUUUUUUUUUUUUUCCUUUUUGAGUUCUUCAGCCAAUAUCUCCAAACAUUGUUCACUGAGAUUGUUCCAGAUCAUUGCUUCAUGACACGGCAAUGUACUUUCCAGCUGACCUAGAAUGACAUCCUUUCAGCCUUUGUCUUCAGGGAUCCAUCCUGUUAGGAUCCCCUCUCUCCCAGAGGCAUUUUAAAAGUAUGAUGCCAUAAAGACAGCUCAAGCUCACUUGGUCUAAAAGGAAAUGCAUGCCUUGUUUUCAUGCCAGACUGUGGGUAGUCUCUCUCUUCUUUGUCUUUCCAUGAAAGGCAGUUGCAGCCAGCCAUGUAUCUUCUGAUUUUCCCAGCUUGGCAGCAGAUCCCAAUAUCUAUUUUUAUAAACACUAUCAAACUUCAGGGAACACGCAUAAAUUCCUCCUAGAUGGCAAGUGCUCUGAGGCCUCCCUCAUCCAAAUUUGAUGCACUGAGUAAGGCUUAAAAGUCUGCAUCUUGAAAAUGUUUGAUUUCAGAGGUUGAUCUGGUUUCUCUUGGUUUGCAGACCUUCAAAGUCUCAGGGAGCCUCCCUUUCUUAGUUAGUGGGGAGAGCCUUCCUUCCCUUCUUCAUAUGCAUUCCCCCUAGUAAUAGUACUCGCUACUAGCUUGGUAAUUCUCUCCUUCCACAACUUACCUUUCUCCCCAGGAACUCCUGUCUUUUGCUUAUAUAGAAUGGAUGGGAGAGGUGAAAAGGAAAAAGUGGUUCCAAUCUGAUCACUUCUUAAGAAAUCUUCAGGGGAAAUCUCUUUGGCUGCUCUUUAGGACAUAGAGUCAUUUAUUGACAGAGAUAUUCAAUACAUUUAAUGGCACCAUGGCAGACCCUUGUCAUGGAUUCAGACCACAAGUUUACAGCAGUAUUCUGGAAAGGCCUUGGUGAUCCAGGAUCUAGCAUCAUUUUGAUGGAUCAUUUAAAAAUCAAGGGGGUUCAGGGGAGAAGCCAAGGUGGUAGAGGGGUAAAGCUCAGGGAAUUGUCUCUUUACCAACUGCCCAUAAUUAUUUCUACAUUUUAGCUACCAGGUGAUUAUCAGCCCUUCCAAUGGCCAGUUAUUCUUGGGAUUGAAGCUUGAGUUAUGGUUUAAGAAAUAAUAAGAGGGAGUUCCCGUCAUGGCUCAGUGGUUAAUGAAUCUGACUAAGAACCAUGAGGUUGAGGGUUUGAUCCCUGGUCUUGCUCAGUGGGUUAAGGAUCUGGUGAGCUGUGGUGUAGUUCACAGAUGCAGCUCGGAUCCCGCGUUACUGUGGCUCUGGUGUAGGCCAGUGGCUACAGUUCCAAUUUGACCCCUAGCCUGGGAACUUCCAUGUGCUGUGGAUGUGGCCCUAGAAAAGACAAAAUAUACAUAAAUAAAUAAAACUNUGAUGGGGCCAGUGUCCAAAAUUUUUUUUGAUAAAAAGAAUGUAACUGAGUUAAGGAAUGAGCCUUGGAAAGAAGAACACACAAAGACAUGGCGUAAAAGGAGAGGAAAUCAAAACAAUGUGAUAUCCAGAAAAUAAGAACUAUCUUAAAGUAGGCCAUUGAAGUGGGAGGAUAAGGAGACUGAAGGCGAAGGGAACAUCCUUGUGUUGAUUGGCUACCUUCAUAAGAAAACUCUUAGGAGGGUGGUGAAGGUGAAACGAGAGGAGGACAGGAGAGCAGAGGGGGAGUUUCCAUCAUGGCUCAGUGGUUAACAAACCCAACUAGCAUCCAUGAGGAUGUGGGUUGGAUCCCUGGCCUUGUUCAGUGAGUUAAGGAUCUGGCAUUGCCGUGAACUGUGGUAUAGGUCACAGACGUGGCUUGCAUCCCACAUUGCUGUGGCUGUGGUGUAGGCCAGCGGAUAUGGCUCCAAUUCAACCCCUAGCCUGCCUGGGAACUUCCAUAGGCCUCAAGUGCAAUCCUAAAAAGACAGAAAGCAAACAAACAAAAAAAAGCAAAAAAAAAAAAAAAAAAA
rnacentral:lncRNA from 1 species